UCAGAGUUGGUUAACACAGGUUUGCCCCGGUUUCCCAAAGUUUGUCACCCCACUUCGUCAGCGCGUUUCCGCUAACUCAAAGAAAUCCGAAGAGGACUUCCGCUUGCAUGAAAAAAGCCACCGGGGCACCAGUGCAGGUCUUUCCUAAAAGCGAAGUGGUGUACUCUUCGCUUUGCACCGUUUGGACUUAGAAAAGGUUUCAGAGAGCGCUCUGCUUUCCGACGGAGCGGCAACCUCCAAGAGCCUUUCGGGACAGCCGGGCUUCAGGCAAGCCUGACCUUCUCCCGAGCCGGCCGCGGCGGUCACCUGGGUCCCCGAAAAACUGGCGCCAGGGGCUCCGGGUAGCGUCGGCCCCCACAGGCCAGCAGGGCGAACGAGCCCAGGCGGCCAGCCUCAAUCCACCCGCGGCCCGCAGCGCAGCACCGGCAGAAAGAAGAGGAAAGAGGCGGCGCCCGGCCGACGCCCACGGGAGGCGCAGGAACCCUGUGACCCCGACCGAGGAAGCAACGCGCGGUUUCCAAGGACACGGGCGUGGCGCCUGCGCAGCUCGCUUCCCCGGAGCCGGGAGAACCGGCCGGGCAGGCCCCGCCCCCCGUGCAGGGAGGUUCCCGCGAGCGGAAGCGCUUGGGGCGGAAGCGGAAGUGCGCAGACGGCUGCGGCUGGGUCGAGGGCGGUGCGGGCGCGUCUCUGGCUGUGCUGGCGUAUCUCUAGAUCCUUUCCAGGAGGUCAGUUAUGGGUGUGAGAGGUUUGCAGGGAUUCGUGGGCAGUACCUGCCCACAUAUAUGUACAGUAGUGAAUUUCAAAGAACUGGCGGAACACCACCGAAGCAAGCAUCCUGGAUGUACUCCUACCAUUGUGGUUGAUGCCAUGUGUUGUCUCAGAUACUGGUACACUCCUGAAUCUUGGAUCUGCGGUGGCCAGUGGCGGGAAUACUUCUCUGCUUUGCGGGACUUUGUUAAGACUUUUACAGCUGUUGGCAUCAGGUUGAUAUUCUUCUUUGAUGGCACGGUGGAGCAGGAUAAGAGAGAUGAGUGGGUGAAACGAAGACUAAAGAACAACAGGGAGAUCUCCAGGAUUUUCCAUUAUAUCAAGUCACAUAAGGAGCAGCCUGGCAGAAACAUGUUCUUCAUCCCCUCAGGGCUGGCCAUAUUUACACGAUUUGCUUUGAAGAGCCUGGGUCAGGAAACUCUGUGUUCGUUGCAAGAGGCCGACUAUGAGGUGGCAUCUUAUGGCCUCCAGAAUAACUGUCUUGGUAUUCUUGGAGAAGACACGGACUACUUAAUCUAUGAUACCUGUCCCUACUUUUCAAUUAGUGAGCUCUGUCUGGACAGUCUCGAUACUGUCAUGCUCUGUAGAGAGAAGCUCUGUGAGAGUCUAGAUAUCAGCCUGGCAGACCUUCCUCUUCUGGCCUGCCUGCUUGGCAACGAUAUUAUUCCAGAAGGCAUGUUUGAAAGCUUUCGGUACAAGUGCUUGUCUUCCUAUACCUCUGUAAAGGAGAACUUUGACAAAAAAGGGAACAUCAUCUUAGCUGUAGCAGACCACAUAUCUAAAGUUCUUCGCUUGCAGCAAGGUGAAAAAAAGCUAGAAGAGAUGUUACCUUUGGGACCAAACAAAGCUCUUUUUUAUAAGGGUGUGGCAUCAUAUCUUUUGCCAGGACAGAAAUCUCCAUGGUUUUUCCAAAAACCUAAGGGUUUAAUAACUUUGGACAAGGAGGUGGGAUCCAUGAGUUCAGCCCCUGAAUCCAAGCAAGAAGUUCCCAUGUGUACCGACCCCGAAUCCAAGCAAGGAGUUCCCCUGUGUACAGACCCUGAUUCCAAGCAAGGAAUUCCCAUGUGUACCGACGCUGAAUCCAAACAAGGAGUUCCCAUGUGGACAAAUCCUGAAUCCAAGCAAGGAGUUCCUGUGUGUACAGAUCCUGAGUCCCAACAAGGAGUUCCUGUUUCUACAGACCCUGAUUCCAAGCAAGCAGUUCCCGUGUGUAUAGAUCCUGGCUCCAAGGAAGGAUUCCUCCUGUGUACACAUCCUGAAUCCAAGCAAGGAGUUCCCAUGUGUACACAUCCUGAAUUCAAGCAAGGAGAUCCUGUGUGUACACACCCUGAAUCCACGCAAGGAGAUCCUGUGUGUACAUACCCUGAAUCCAAGCAAGGAGUUCCCAUGUAUGCAUACUCUGAAUACAGGCAAGGAGUUCCCAUGUGUACACACACUGAAUUUAAGCAAAAAUCACCUCUGGGUGCAGACCCUGAAUUUAAGCUAGAAGCACCUAUAUGUACAAGCCCUGGAAUUAAACAAGAAGACCUUGUGAAUAUGGAGCCUGAAAUCAAACAACAAGUAACCAUGGUUUCAGACCCUGAAAUCUUAAAGAUUGCUAGAGCACAUCACGUCCAGGCAGAGAGCUACCUGGUGUACAACAUCAUGAGCAGCGGGGAGAUCGAAUGCAGCAACACCUUGGAGGACGCGCUGGACCAGGCUCUGCCCAGCCAGGCUUUCGUCUACCGCCCCGUGCGCCAGCGCGUUUACUCCCUCCUGCUGGGGGGCGGCGAAGAUGGCGCCAGCACCUGCCCCACUGUCAAGGAGUGGUUUGUGUACUCUGGGAACCCACUGAGGCACCCGGACCUCGUCAGGCCUCUGCAGAUGAACAUUCCAGGGGGAACCCCUAACUUGAAAUUACUGUGGCUGAACCAAGACGCAGGGAUACAAGCCCGGCGCUUGGACGCGCUGCUAGGCUGCUUCGACCUCUCCUCCUCAAGAGAAGAGCUGCAGGCGGUGGAGAAUCCCUUCAAAGCGCUGUGCUGCCUCCUGACCUACCUCUUCGUGCAGGUGGACACGCUUUGCCUGGAGGAUCUGCAUGCUUUCAUUGCUCAGGCCUUGUGCCUCCAAGGAAAACCAACUGUGCAGCUCGUAGACUUACAGCUUGACUACAUCGACGCCCGAGCCGUGCAGCUUGGCUCCCUGCUGGUCCGCGGCCUUACCACUUUGGUCUUGGUCAACAGCGCGUGCGGCUUCCCCUGGAGGAUGAGUGACUUCAUGCCCUGGAACGUGUUUGACGGGAAGCUCUUCCAUCAGAAGUACCUGCAGUCGGAGAAGGGGUGCACCGUGGAGGCUCUGGUGGAACAAAACAGGUCCCGGCUGACCAAGUUCCACGCGCUGAAGUCGGUCGUGUGCAAGGCCUGCGUGAGGGAGAACCGGCGCAUCGUCAGCAGGCAGCACUGGCACUCCCCCCAGCCAGGCAGGUGGGGGAGGCAGGGAUCCGGCUCCCACAGGACGAGCUCCGGGUACAGCCGGGCAGGCCAAGGACAGCACUGGAGGGAUCAGGGUCCAGGUAAGAGGCCGGCGGCCAUGGGCUGCUCGCGAUGGUGCUGUUUCAGCUUCGUGCUUCUGCUGAAGGCUGGCCACCCGACGUCUGUUUGGGCGUCGGUUGGUGUUUCCAGGUAAACAGGUCAUUAUACUGAUGAUGUCUGAUUUCAUUGCUGAGUGAAGUAGAGACCAGUAAUUUCCAAGCUCGGCGCUAGUCGGUCUCUGCUCCUUGCCACUUUGUUUCUUCUCUGUCAAUUCGUUUCAUCUGUUUGAGACCCAAUUUUUUUUUUUAAGUUAGUCAAAGAAAGGUUCUUGUAAAGGUUUCAUGCACAGGGAUCCUUCUGAUGAAAAAAUAGCACAGAAAGUAGCAUUUUACCAGUAGCAGCAUUUUGAUAUUUUCUGUGAUCUGGCUUGUAUACAGAAGAGCCUUUUGGGUGAUCCAGGAAAUAAAAUGAAUCCUUUACUUCUUGGGUGUGUAAUACAGAUGUCUGAUUUUGUGCGUAAAACUGAAUUUAAUAUGUAGUAGUUUACGUUUUAAAUACAAAGAAAACCUCAUCAGUAUUUAAACUCAAAAUUCCUUACAGUUUUGAAAACCUAACUGUACAGAUCUUAUAUUAGCUAAGGUUUACAAUUUUAUCCUUGCAAAUACAAACAUGCCUUUAAUUUAAUUUAGUUUUUUGCAAACUCUAAAAUGUGUAGACAUUUCACACAUUACUCACAUUGUCCCCCUAGAGCACAGCCAGUCCGUGUCAUUAAGCAAAGCCGCCUUUCUCGGUUUGUCUAUGUGGGCGUCCACGGUGUCUGCUCACUUGGGAUGUUGCUGAGGGGAAUGCGAGCCUCGUUCAGGCAGAAACAUCAAGGGUCUGCUGUACGGUUCAGCGCUGACCGGAGUUCGUGGUGACUGGUUUUGAAAUGCCCACCCUUGGGGACAGAGGGCAGGCAGCUCUGUCAGAUUCGUAGCUGUUUCAGGUGGCCCUUUUAGCUGGCGAGCCUGCACAGUCCACCUGGCCAGUCCUGCCCACCGUCGCCUGCAGCUUCUGGACGGCUGGCCAAAUGCGUGUAGCGGUGUCCCGCCCUGCCCCCGCCUCAUCCAGCGUAGGCACACGGUGCCUCCACCUAAACCACCUGAGGGUUGGUGCUGGUGCAGCAUGACUGGGAUUAAGCCAAAUUCCUUCUUUCCGUUGUUUCAAGUAUAUUUGAGAUUGCUUUUAAUUUAGAAGGUAGUGCAGUUUAUUGAGCUGAACCACAAAGAGAGAACCCAGAAGACGAAGGAGGGUUUGUAAACUUACCUAAAGUCAGACUCUGACACCCGGAGCUGUGGGCUCGCGUCUGCGAAGGUGGCACUCCAGGUGCCCUCUGGUUGGACCCGUUGUGUGUGCACGACGUCAGCGCUUACUCAGCCUGUCGAGCUGAGCUGCCCUAAGGGUGCAUACAUGCAGCAGGUGGCCCCCCCAGCCUGGAGGCUCCACAGUGUGUGGCCUUGCCCCGUCGGGCUGUCUGCCUCUCCUUGGGGCUCCUAACUCGUUAAGAACGACACGUCUUCCAGCAGCCAGGCGGAGCUGGACAAAUGCACAUGGAGUGUGCAUCUCCCCCGUCUUCACUGGGGUCUGAGAAAACCCCUCUGAGAGGUGGUGUUUAAGCAGAGACCCGGUGAGAGGGAGCAGCCACCAGACGCCUACGGGAGGGGUGUGCGCAGAAGGCGGGGCCGUCGGGACCCUGUGUGGCUGGAAGGGGAGCAGGAGGCAGGCAGCAGAGGAGCUGACCUUUCAGAGCCUCACGACACUGGUCAGAGCCCUGGAAGUUCACUUCAGAUGAGAUGCUCCAUGUGUCCGUUCUGGAGAGAUGUUCCCUUAGUCACCAGACCGCCACCCACAGAUCUCAGAGCCUGUGGACCUUCAGUACAAAGCUGGUGACGAACCUCUUCUGUAAUGCUAGCAGGGUGUGUGACCUGUAGGCCCCCAUCCUGUGUUUGAAAUACGUGUGUGAUGGGCUUGGAGUGGAGAGCGGGUCCAGCCCUGUCUGUCUGCGUAUCCCGUCCCACGUAUGUUUAAGUAGCAGGACUCUGGGUCCCUGUCACCCUUAAAGCUACGGUACUGUCAAGCUCGCAAGGCCCUGGCCCCUCCAGGUGAGGAUCAGAGUGCACCCACCGAGCUCAGGCAAGCAGGAUGAGGGCAGGCGUGCUGCACGCCUUCCAGGCAGACCGGCGUGACGGGGUGUACGUGGUCCUCCCGGAGUUCCUCUGAGCAGAUGACAGAGGCUCCCCGGCAGCCGCUCUCCCCGACAUCACUGCUCCCCACGUAUGGCCUGGUGUGGGAAAUGGAAACCUUCCUCUUAAUCCCCUUUGGCUUAGGCUUGUCUCCUUUUCUUCCUGCUGGUGUCGCAAGUCAGGAAAGAUGAGAUAGUACGAAGUCAGGGAGAGGAGGGCUGCAAGGGAAGCCCGGGCACGGUAGAGGGGAGGAGGUGACGAGUUCUGCGGGGAGGUGAGCACAGUCACCUGGGGUGGGACAGACGACCACCACGUGCGCAUUUCCGCUUCCAGGCCUCCCGCUCACGUGCUACAUGCCCUCAGUCACGGCCUGGCAGCUUUGGUGUCCUCCUGGCCCUGAGCCCUGUGGUUCCGCCGGGGAAUAGCGACACCUGAGUGAUGAUGGUGGCGCCGCUCUCAGACAUGCCAUCGAGGACGUGCCUCACCUUGGCCCAAGCCUGGUGCCCUUGAAUUCGAGCUUUUCGGAAAAAGAGAAGGCUCUGCAGGAUUUCUUAAUAACUCAUCUCAUCUUUCCCCGAGGAGGCCUGCUGCAGUGGGUUCUCACAGGCAAGCACAGCCUCAGAUCCUGGACUCAGCACUCGCCCGUGGACCUGACCCUAGCAGGUCGCAGGGCCUCUAGGUCUGUCUGCCGUGAAGGCACACAGAAAGCUUCGGGUGUGAUUCCCCCACCCACAGGACCAGCCUGGAUUUCCGGGAACAUUGGGAACUCUCGGGGAUGUUUGUCAGGCUGGGUGCUAGACCACGGAGAAUCAAGGAAACGCUGAUGGCCUCAACGGCCCGAGCCUGCAGCUGCUUCAGAAGCGCCCUGGUCUGAACCCAAUCCCUCCUCAGGGGACGGGACCGCGGUGGUAACAUAAGAGUCCGGGAGUGGUGGUGCCUGAGGGUUUGGGGCUGAAAAACGUGCCCGGGAGACCUCGGUCAAAGGCAAACGAGGUGGCUUGCGUUAGGGUCAGAUGUCAGAAUUUGGGGACGGGGAUGCGGGCCUCCAGGGCACAGUCCCUGGCAGUGGACGCAGCAGCACGUGCAGAUUUGCCAAGCGGGACAUCGUGUGUCAGCUGCAUUCAAAUUAAAAGCAAAAAGUAUGUGGGCGUGGGGGCGUGAGGAAUUGAAAGGCUCCUGCAGGACAGUGGUUAAGCACGGACACCGUUUCAUUUGCAUUCUGCCUCACGUGGAAAAAUGUUCACAAAAAUUUUGUUGGUGGUACUAGUAUGUUUUCCAAUUUCAGAUGUGUCUGCAUAAAGUACAUGUUCACACGCGUAUGUCACGCCUUUUAUUUGUUAGGACUGGAGCAUUGUUUGAGGUCACGUCAUCCCCUUGUUCAGCUUUAGUUGCUGUAAAAGAAUUACAUCGUCUUUCCUUGGCCCCCACACAUUUUGCUGGGUUUAUCUGUCCUUGAACUCCUACUUUAGCGUUUUUAGAGGUAUCCAAAUAGCCUAAGUAGAAAGUUGUCAGUACUGCCUGGACAGAGUUAAUGGGAGAAAUUCUUUGCUUUAAGUGAAAAACCAAAAACGCCUCGGAAUGAACAUACUGAGUUACUGAGACAGUUGGGAAGUUUCCGGGGCCGGUGCCUGCCUGGCCCGAUGGAGGAGCGGGGAGCCUGCCCACUCUGCCGGGCAGGGAGACUCAGACACAGAGCUGCAGGGCCCUUCAGCGGCACCAGCCUCCCUGUGAAGCAUUUGCUUCCAGACCUGUGAAGUGCAGUGGGGAACAUCAAAGCCGCUAAAGUGAGAACAUUUGAACAUCUUCCUUUCUGUUGGUGAGAAAUGUGUUAAAUUCCACAGUCAGUAGCAAAGCACAUUUGCCUGUGAUUCCUUGAGCUUCUCACUUAUCGCUGGUAAGGUGGUAAUUCUGUAGGAGGCCCGGGCUGUUGUAAAACCACCUCUGGUCAUCUGUGAUAACAAGGUGGGGCCUGGAAACCUCAUUCUGGCCUUGCUGUGACCUUCUCCUGCCACCCAGCCCUCUGCCAGAGCCCCUGCCAGCCUCACACUCCUGGGAGGGACAAAGGCCGCCCUCAGUGGGAGAGGCAUGGGCGUCAUCAGUCAAGCAGAAGCAUGGAAGGCUUUGUAGGAAAAGUGUCAUUUUCUGAAUGUGAAAACAACCACCUUUUUUGAUGGCAGGCUGGCUGUCUUCUGGUUCUCGCCUGCCACUCCCUGUAUAGCGGGGGACAAAAAGUGGCCGGCUGCACUGGGAAGGGAACCUCCGCACUCAGCUGUAGGGCCACACGUUGCUUUUUCCGUCCUUGGCAAAGUGUCCUCCGUGAGCCAUCUGCUUACGAAGUUCCUUUCCCAAUAUCAUUGGCAGCAGAGGCCGUCUAGAUUCAGUGCAGGUGGUUGGACACUGCUCCGUCUAACAGCAGAACCGCCUCUUAAUUAAUUGCUUCCUACUCUAAUGGAAAGUGUGUGGAACAAACUUUUAAUCACAGUGGCAACAUCAGAGAAGAGAGUAAUAAGUUAUGUCCUCCAAGUACAACUCAGCAUGUUUUUAUGCAUACUUAGAAAUGUGCGGUUUUCGCAGUUUGAAUUUAGAGAAAUGUAAUUAACUUAGUUUUGGUUUGCAUGUCUGUUUGGUGCAGGAAAUAGACAGUAUGAGCCUGACCAUUGGAGAAGAUACUCCUCUUCCGGGUGGUCCAACUGACGCCCACCAGCUGGAAGAGGACAGACCCGCUCGCAGGUGAAGAAGGAAUCAUUGUAAACGUAGACACUGAGCAUAAAGCCAGUACAGUACAUCUUGCUUACCUACAGCCAAGACCUAGAACGAGAUUGCUGUAUUUCACCCAUUACGGGCACACAGUACAGACAUGUUGAGUGAGGUGACCUGAACGUGGUAUGUGUUUUUAACUCCACUCUACUGUGCCGUUUACGUGGCACCAGGCAGCCAGGCGGAGCUGAGGGCGUGUGAAGAACUGCCUGCUGCCUCCCAGAAGCUUUGCUGUGGCUCCACCCCAAGUGUGGAGAUUCCCUGUAGUCUCUGACAGCUUGUAAAUGUACAGACCUUCGUGGGGAGAACGGAGAAACGAUGAACGCCUGUGUCAUCGAGGCCCUGCUCUGCGUGAAUCUGCACAGCAUGGGCCACAGUAUCUCCCGAGACAGGGAAGCCAACCCAGAAAGGACCGCGUAGCUUCGGGCAGCCGCCCUUGAGUCCCUUGUGCUUGGGUUACACGUGCAGUCGCAAGUUUCUUCCUGAGUGGUUGGCCCGGGCCUGGGAUGUGCAGGCCCUUGUGAAAGUUCACUGUGGUCCUCCCGGCACAGCUGAGGUCUCUGUGGUCACUUCAAGAGUGCUCAGUUGGUGAGUGGGAAAGACUGUUUUGUGGUUACCAUUGUGUUCCAGGGAAUAUGGCCGGACCACCGUCGUGUGAAGGACACAUCUGAGAACAGGCAGCACAGGGAGCCCAGCGGCUCCCACGGGACUGGGACAUGGGGCCCCGUCUCACGUGCUUGGUUCAGCAGCGGUAGGGAUGGUGUGGUUGGUUGGGCUCAUCCGCUCUCCUUUGUGUUGUGACGCUGAUCUGUAAUACGCAUUUCGCUCUACCAGUUACCAGUGGUUAGUCUGCUGUUACAACAAGUGAAGACCCACUUCUUUGUCCCGGUUCUCAUUUGGCCCUGUUGUCGAAGUUCUAUAGCUGGAAAGGCCUUGGGCACUUGGCCAGGUCUCCUAUGGGCUCUGUACCGCCCCCUUCUCAAAUGUAAGUCUGUACACCUGUGAGAGGAAAAAGAAAGUGGUGAUUCCUGAGUCAAUCUAUUAAUUGUUAUUCUCAUGUUGUUUAAAUAUGUGCAGACAUGCAUCAGGGUCCUUAAUGCUCAGAGCUCUUUCUUAAUGCAGCUUUCAUUCCAACACGUCAUUUAAAUAAACUGAGACUAGAUUCUGAGUCAAGUAGUGUUGUCACCACAGUCCCCCAGCCGCUCCCCGGGGGGCCGGCCAGAGCCCUCACCUCUGGAGCUGCCGUGCUAGUGUCCACGGGAGGCAUAGACGCCAGCGGAAGGCAGAGGCAGGGGACUGAGGGUGCCCAUGACGGGAACCCUGUGAGUGUGCCCCUUCAUUGAAUGGGCAGGGGUGCCUGGUGUGGCUGAGCCCACAGUGGCGUCUGGUGCGCUCGCCUGCACACAGGACUAGGUUUCAAGAGGGACGUCUGCCAUAUCCGUGAAUUUUUGCCACAAGAAUGACUUUGUGUGUUGUGUAGUUGAAAAUAAAGGGAAAGAAAUAAUCAUG